UCCGGUGUGGUGUAUCGGUUAUCAUUCCGCGUUUUCAAGCAAUUGAAAAACCGCGGCGAGCGGGGUUCGACUCCCCGCACCGGAG
rnacentral:tRNA from 1 species